GCUCACCGUGACCCUCCUGCCUCAGCCUCCCAUGUGCUGGGAUUACAGGUGUGCGCCACCAGCCUCAGCGGUCCUGGCUUUAGAAGACUGGGAGUAAGAGGCUUGGAGACACGGACAGAACUUCUUGUUUCUCGUAUGAUUCCAGGGUGGGAGACCAAGUCCCCGGGGGGGGGGGCACUUCCUCCCUUGAGCUUGCUUCCUCAAGCUGUAGCACCUCCGGGGGGCCUCCUCCUGUGGGCUCACACAGCUCAGUCCGGAUCCAAGCCCAGCAGGGGCAGGAGGUGUGGUUAAGUGGAAUGAGCCUUCCAGAACUAGUUUAUCUCCUGUAUCCAUUUGCCUGUGGGCUGGCCAGCAGGAGGGUGAUCCCCAGAAGAAUCAGGAUUUGCGUAUCACCUCUCUCUUGGCUUCCUGACGUGAGUGUGCACCAAGCCCACGCUGGGCCCAUCCGACUUUCCAUCUAGGAAGUGUGUCUGGCGUUGAGUCAGUGUCCCCUAGGCCUGGCAGUCAAGCAUCCUCCCCACCUCCACCAGCCCAACAUUCUUCACGCAGGAGUGGAUUUCAGGUACUGUCGUCCGAGUCUUUGUCAAAGACACGGCCCCGUAAAGGAGCAGAAUCAGACUGAGACCGAUCACUUACUUCCUGUGUGACCUUCAGCUGACCAUGUGUUCUCCCUGAAUACCAGUUUCCACACCUAUGAAAGACUUGGAAGCUUAAAGAGAUGCCCAGUCUAUGGUACCUCCCACACCUUACAGGCCUGGACGAUGGCUUCCCAUGCACCAGUGUGGAAGGGAAAGAAGUUCAGCAUCUUCGUUAUUCCUCAACUAAUGAAAUCCUCCCUCGCCUCACAGCUCUUCAGACUAAGAUAUCAGCACCACACUGAGGUGCCGGUCUAGGAACCGGAAGUGCACCAGGAGCAGCUGCUCACUCAAACCAAACAGAGGCGCCCCAGUGAAGAAGCAUGCGACCCCAGAGAUGACUGCUUGGGUUCAAAUCCCAGCUUUUACUCUGUUGAACUAUUGGCAAACUAGAUGGCUUCCUGUCGCCUCAAUUUCCCAUUUGGCAUGUGAAGGUGCUGGGGAUUGGAUCCAGUGCUUUGCACAUCUACCACUGAGCUACAUCGCCAGCCCCCAAAUGCUUUUUAAAGGUUUGUGCUAGACAUGCCACCAGCAAAUUGUUUCCCCCAGCUUUGACACCGACAGAUCUGGAAUGUGGAAGAGCCCGUCAAAGGAACAACAGUAAAUGCUGGAUGAAACCUCAGAUCGAUUCCUAAGCUCCUGUAUGCAUGCAGUGUGCCAAGAUUUUACAAUUUAGAGAAGAAACUUUAAUCGCACUAGAAAAUUUCUGAAGGUGGUAAGACAGUACCCGCAAUGCGGGGCAGGAGGAGAAUGAGAUGACGUAAUACCUGAGAGCUCUACAUUUGAUUUUUUUUUUGUCUUUUUGAGACAGGGUCUUGCUCUGCAGUUCAGGCUGAGCUCGGUUGGUCUUU